CUACGGGGUGCUGCAGUGAGGAAUUUUGCGCAAUGGGGGAAACCCUGACGCAGCAACGCCGCGUGAGCGAAGAAGGCCUUCGGGUCGUAAAGCUCUGUCAAGUGGGAAAAAAAUCUUUUGAUCAAUAGUCAAAAGACUUGACGGUACCACUGGAGGAAGCACCGGCUAACUCCGUGCCAGCAGCCGCGGUAAUACGGAGGGUGCAAGCGUUGUUCGGAUUUACUGGGCGUAAAGAGCGUGUAGGCGGUUUAGCAAGUCAGAUGUGAAAGCCCUGGGCUCAACCCGGGAAGUGCAUUUGAAACUGCUUCACUAGAGUAUGGGAGAGGAGAUUGGAAUUCCUGGUGUAGAGGUGAAAUUCGUAGAUAUCAGGAGGAACACCCGUGGCGAAGGCGAUUCUCUGGACCAAUACUGACGCUGAGACGCGAAAGCGUGGGGAGCAAACAGGAUUAGAUACCCGGGUAGUC
rnacentral:rRNA from 1 species